UCUGAGGGAUGAGCAAAGAAAGUGGUUUCUUGAGAUGGAAUCCACUCCUGAUGAGGAUGCUGUGAA
rnacentral:pre_miRNA from 1 species